rnacentral:lncRNA from 10 species
GUCAGACUUUGCCAUCUAUUAUGGAAAAACAAGAGUAGUAUUGUUACCGAAACACGAGGGAUUCAGUCUAGGGCCUGCUGCUUGCUUCACAGAAAGCCAGUGACUGAGGUAAUGAGUACUGGCAAGGAAGAAGGCUUUAAUCGGGCGCUGCAGCCGAGAAGGUGGGAGCUCAGCCUCAAAUCCAUCUCCAAGACCAAGUAAAACUGCAGGCUUAUAUAGCAGGGAAGAUGUGUAAGAAAUGUAUAAGAAAACAGCAACUGGGGAGGGGCAAGGAAGCCAUUAUGAGGAAUGAGAGGCCUGGCAUCUCAUCGUCUGGAUGUAGUGAUCUGAUUGCUAAUGCCGCUAAAGGAGGAGGAGGCUGGUUCAAUACGAUACAUUCCCACUCAUGUCCUUGCCGGAGUCCCACUGCUCCCGAACACAUGCCCUGAGGCAGCG